rnacentral:lncRNA from 7 species
GAAGCUUGUCAGGGUGUUAAGGAGCAGGGGCUGACAACUCGCCCUCCUGUCAGCGCCCACCGGAGCUGCUGAGCCUCGUGGUUAUGGAGCAUCCCAGCAGUGCUGCAGCCCUGCGGUCUCCCUGGGGAUGCUGCGUUUGGUGCUCAGCUGGAGGACACUGAGACUGCAGAGCUGCUCCGGAUCUCCAAGUCCGAUUCGGCACAGCAUCAAUGCGUGCAACUUUGGGGAGUUCUUUGGAGCUGGGCUGCUCCCAAUCGGCGGCCAUUCCUACACACCGAGGCUGCGCUCCUGCUGCAGCCUCCUUCUGCUGCCUGCCUCCAUCACCCCAUGCAGCAGGGAAGGGAGAGCAGGGCUGCAAUCUCGUGCUUCAGAAGCAAAAAGGCGAGAACCAGCUAACGCACAAUUGCAAGACGCUCCGCGGAUUUAGUUCUGACAGAGCUGUUUUCACAGCCCGGUUUAGCCGAUAAGCUGCACGCUGGGCUUAACCCUCGGGGUGCUAAGAGAUGCUCUUGAUAAUAAAACCCAAAGGAGUG